AAGUAUAUUCUUACAACAUAGUGUUAAUGCACUGAAUCCCAUUAGAACUCCACAGUUAAGCACACUCGGCCUAGAGUAGUAUUUGGAUGGGUGACCACUCGGGAAAUCCUAUUAUUUUACAUG
rnacentral:rRNA from 1 species